rnacentral:rRNA from 1 species
GCUACGGGAGGCAGCAGUGAGGAAUAUUGGUCAAUGGGCGGGAGCCUGAACCAGCCAAGCCGCGUGAAGGAAGAAGGCGCCAGGCGUCGUAAACUUCUUUUGUCGGGGAACAAAGGGCGCCACGUGUGGCGUUGUGAGUGUACCCGAAGAAAAAGCAUCGGCUAACUCCGUGCCAGCAGCCGCGGUAAUACGGAGGAUGCGAGCGUUGUCCGGAUUUAUUGGGUUUAAAGGGUGCGUAGGCGGAAUAUCAAGUCAGCGGUAAAAAUUCGGGGCUCAACCCCGUCGUGCCGUUGAACCUGAUUUUCUUGAGUGGGCGAGAAGUAUGCGGAAUGCGUGGUGUAGCGGUGAAAUGCAGAGAUAUCACGCAGAACUCCGAUUGCGAAGGCAGCAUACCGGCGCCCAACUGACGCUGAAGCACGAAAGCGCGGGUAUCGAACAGGAUUAGAUACCCUAGUAGUC